GAUGAACGCUGGCGGCGUGCCUAAUACAUGCAAGUCGAGCGAAGCGGCGAACGGGUGAGUAACGCGUAGUAACCUGCCCCCCUCUCUGGGAUAACAGUUGGAAACGGCUGCUAAUACCGGAUAGUGGGGGAUGGACUCGCGUCCUAUCAGCUUGUUGGUGGGGUAGUGGCCUACCAAGGCGACGACGGGUAGCCGGCCUGAGAGGGCGACCGGCCACAUUGGGACUGAGACACGGUCCAGACUCCUACGGGAGGCAGCAGUGGGGAAUAUUGGACAAUGGGCGAAAGCCUGAUCCAGCCAUGCCGCGUGUGUGAAGAAGGUCUUCGGAUUGUAAAGCACUUUAAGUUGGGAGGCGUUACCAACAGAAUAAGCACCGGCUAACUUCGUGCCAGCAGCCGCGGUAAUUC
rnacentral:rRNA from 1 species